CCACUCUAUUUUAUCUACAAUCUAGAUCUAGACCAUACAUGAGAUCAAUAUGAAUAUGAAUAUUUAUAGAUCUAGUCUAGACACCUAGAUCUAGAUCUAUCGAUCAUCUAAUCUGUCUAUAGUCUAUAGUUAUAGCUUUAGACUUAGUAUACACUUUUACAGUAUAUGAGUAUACUCAUACGAGUCAUACUGGCUAUACUAUAGUAUAGACACUAUAGUUAGUAUAGUUAAUACUUUUUAAUAGUAGAUCUAUAAUCUAUCAAUUCUAUCUAAAUCUAGACUUCACUUUCACAUCACAUUCACACGAUUAUUGAUACAGACAAUGAAUGAAAAGAAUGCAGCGGUUAUACUUAUUAUACUUAUAGUGACGAUACUACUUAUAGAUCUACCAGUUGAUAAACAUCAUCAUCAUAGAUAAUAAUCUACAUCUAUAAUCAUAGUGCCCUUUAUUUAGUCAAUAUAGUCAAGUCAAGAUAGUGGAACGUAAACUCGAAGGUUUAAUACAAUACGUUAUUAACAAGUAGAACCAUGGCAACCAGUUCUGAUGAUGUACCAGAAUGGCUCAAGGAUCAUACUUAUAUUAUUUCUACUCUCUGGGCAGACAUUAAUAAUAUUGGCAUCCAUUCAAUAUUUAAUUUAUGUUUGGAAAUGCAAGAAAAAGGCAUGCAUUCCUGAAAAGUCACUGAUUGGUUGCACCUCUUAAAGAUAACUUUCUGUUAUGAGAAAAGAUGAGAUUCUUGGACUCCUGCAUAGCACCACCAGAAAGGAAAAUCCCAUCAUGUUGCAAAAUAAAAGUCUUGGACCAAUUUUAAUUUAAGAUAUAUAUAUAUUAUACUGUAAGCUGUAUACAUAUUUAUGUAUAUCCUGUCAUUCAGCCAACAGGUUUGGAUUUAGUAUUUCUUUAAAUCUGUUUGAUAUUGUACUUGAAAACUAUUAAUCUGAGCCCCAUUAAAACAAGAGGGAGUGCAGUGGAUGAGUGGUAAGGGAAAUUUUACUUUUUUAAAAUUAAAAAUAAGAAUCUAACAAAAGUAAACAUAUAAAAUAUGGUGCAUUCUCCUUAAAACUAAAACCUGGUGCAAAGGUUUAAAAUGUUGGCAAAAAAAAAAGCAACAUCAAUUAAAUAUUCUUAAUUCCCUUACUGAGAAGAACAUGCAUGUUGUUCCCUCAUAAGUUUCUUGACAGAGGAAAUCUUGUUUAUAUUAGAUUUGAAUUAAGCAAAUUAAGAAAAAAAUUAUAAUCAUUAUUUCAAAUGGUUGUAUCUAAACCUUAUGAAUUAUUUUUCAGUUAUAAGUAUAUUGAAAUGAAUGGAUAAUCAUGAAAUUGUUAAAUAAUUGCCAUUGACUAAAGAACCAUAAUUUUUUUUUUUUAAUUAAUUUCAAAAUGAUUUUUUUCAAGCAGAGUUCACAUAGAUCUUGAGUGAAAUUUUUCUUUUUUUGACUAAUGCUUCAAUUUUAUUGUAUCAUUAGAUUUUAUUUUUAUUACCCAGAAUAUUUAAAAAAUUAGUACACUAUUUUCAUGUAAUAAUGUAACUUGGUAUUCACACAUCAAAAUACACUAUAAUCUUUAGGCCAUAUAGAUUUGUAUAAAUAUAAAUUAACUUUCUGAAACACAUUGUAAAUGUAUAUUGUUUGGAUAAGAAUAAAGUUUUUCUGUAGACAAUUAUUGUUCAAGAUAUGUUGAUGCUCCUGCUUAAUAAAUUAUAUGUACAGGUCAUUAGUUUUAACACACUACUGACACAAGAAAAACUGGUCGCCCUCACUUCCAUUACAUAGAUGUAAUAAAACGUGACCUCAAAUCAGUGAACAUCAAUACUGACAAUUGGGAAGACAUAGCUUUAGACCGCAACAGAUGGAGAGAGAGUGACCAAGAAAGCUAUGGACAGUGAAAGUACAUGGGUCUCAGCUCAGGAAGAAAAAUGUACAAUCCGAAAAACGGCCAGCUCCUCUACCACUGAAGCAAAAGCCACCUUAACCUGUGCUGUGGACGGGAGUGUCUCUCCAAAAUAGGGCUCCACAGCCACAUGAGGAAGUGUGCUCUGAGAUGAAACCUUAGUCUUUCUACAACUGAAGGAGGCCAAUGAUGAUGAUUAUGAUACAGGUCAUUAGUUUUAACACGUCUGAUAAUAAAUGACAGUACAAGUUAUUGAAUGAAAAUUUGUAAUUAUUUCAGCUGCUUUAGGCCUACAUCAAUGUGAGGUACCAGUACUUUGAUUGUGUCAUAUAACAAUUUAAAGCAACAUUUUGAAAUGAAUAGUGUGUAGAAUUGACAGUAAAUACAUUUAAGUGAUGGGCUGUGAUCUGCAUGAAUUGAGAGCUGAUCAUGUAUUGAAUUUGUGUUUUUGAUCUUUACUUCAAGUAAAUGUUAAUGAACAAUUAAUUUUUAAUGAAUAAAUAACUAAAAAAUA